CAGAACACUACAAGCAAUAGCUUGAAACUGAAAGGACCUGGCGGUGCUUUACAUCCGUCCAGAGGAGCCUGUUCUAUAAUCGGUAUACCCCGAUAAUCCUUACCACCUCUUGCCCUCAGCCUACAUACCGCCAUCUUCAGCAAACUCCUUAAAGAUCGUAGAGUCAGCAGAAGUAUCAUACAAACAUUAGGUCAAGGUGCAGCCAAUGAAGUGGGAAUAAAUGGGCUACAUUUUCUAAAUGAGAAAAACUACACAACAGCCUUUCUGAAAUCUAAAGGCCUAAGGUGGAUUUAGCAGUAAAUCAAGAAUAGAGAGCUUGAUUGAACCAAGGCCAUUAAGCAUGCACACGCCACCCGUCACCCUCCUCAAACAUCACACAAAAGUACAUUAACAAUAAGCCACUACACACUGAUACAGAGGGGAUAAGCUGUAACACGGUAAGCGUACUGGAAAGUGCGCUCG
rnacentral:ncRNA from 1 species